rnacentral:tRNA from 7 species
GCACUCGUAGCUCAGCUGGAUAGAGCAUCAGACUACGAAUCUGAGGGUCAGGAGUUCGAAUCUCUUCGAGUGCGCCA